rnacentral:rRNA from 1 species
UACGAAGGGGGCUAGCGUUGCUCGGAAUCACUGGGCGUAAAGCGCACGUAGGCGGAUUGCUAAGUCAGGGGUGAAAGCCCGAGGCUCAACCUCGGAACUGCCUUCGAUACUGCGGGUCUCGAGUCCGGGAGAGGUGAGUGGAAUUCCUAGUGUAGAGGUGAAAUUCGUAGAUAUUAGGAAGAACACCAGUGGCGAAGGCGGCUCACUGGCCCGGUACUGACGCUGAGGCGCGAAAGCGUGGGGAGCAAACAGG